CUAAUGCCCUUUUGAUGAUGCUCC
rnacentral:siRNA from 1 species